CCUCUGGAUGAAGAAGAACUUGUUGCAUAUAUUAUUAAUGGACUUGAUGCAGAUUAUGACCCUAUCGUUAAAGCACUGGUGGCUAAGACUGUACCUGUUACCGUGACUCAGUUGUAUUCCCAACUUCUGAGUUUCGAGA
rnacentral:snoRNA from 1 species